rnacentral:tRNA from 1 species
AGUUAAUUAGCUUAUUUAUAAAGCAUGUAUUUUGAAAAUACAAGAAAGAUAAUAAAUUUAUUAACUU